GCCGUCGUAGCUCAGUGGACAGAGUGACCGGUUCCUAACCGGUUGGCCGGAGGUUCGAGUCCUCCCGACGGCG
rnacentral:tRNA from 1 species